rnacentral:rRNA from 1 species
GAGUGGGUGGGAAUGCAGUUCUCUGGUUUGAAGUUGUUUCUAUUGACUUAGCGGCGGACGGUGAUAAACUGGGCACUGCUGAAAAUUGGGAUAACUGCGGAGUAACACGUGUGGUAACCUGCCUGUAAGACUGGGAUAACUCCGGGAAACCGGGGCUAAUACCGGAUGGUUGUUUGAACCGCAUGGUUCAAACAUAAAAGGUGGCUUCGGCUACCACUUACAGAUGGAGCCGCGGCGCAUUACUGGUUUUAGAACCGGCCACCCCUUCCGGCCGGGGGUGCGCAGUGGGGCAUUGGGAACGGGCAAAAAACACGCUCGGGUUGUGCGGUUUAACUAAAAAAUCAUCUGUAACAAACUUGCCAAUGGUUCCCCUCCGAUGGUACCUCGUCAAUUUCAUAGACCCCCACGGUAAGAUCCGAGGUUCAUCGAUCAUGUCCCCCUCGCCGGCCCUCCUAGCAAAUGAACCGGCAAGCCCGCGGGAUGAUAUGGGACUGGUAUAAAGAAGGACUUACUCUAGAUCAUUAUGGUGGUACAAGACUCUACGGUGUUCACUUACGCCACUCUUAAGAAAAGCACUAACACAGAUCGUGACCCCCCAUAACUCAGUGAUGCUCUCCUUGAUACUCCCUUCACGCCCGGGUGCCGGUUCACAUAAGACGCCCCCUAGAAUUCAUACGACCACUACGCGUGGCCAUAAGUGUUAGAGAUAGGAGUUGUUUUUUUCAAUUUACAAUUUCCCCGUCCCAC